rnacentral:rRNA from 1 species
UACGUAGGGGGCGAGCGUUGUCCGGAGUUACUGGGCGUAAAGGGCGCGUAGGCGGUGUGUCAAGUCAGGCGUGAAAGCCCCGGGCUCAACCUGGGAACCGCGCUUGAGACUGGCACGCUAGAGUUCGGGAGAGGAUGGUGGAAUUCCCAGUGUAGAGGUGAAAUUCGUAGAUAUUGGGAAGAACACCGAUGGCGAAGGCAGCCAUCUGGACCGACACUGACGCUGAGGCGCGAAAGCGUGGGGAGCAAACAGG